UACGUAGGGUGCGAGCGUUGUCCGGAAUUAUUGGGCGUAAAGAGCUCGUAGGCGGUUUGUUGCGUCGGCUGUGAAAUCCCGAGGCUCAACCUCGGGUCUGCAGUCGAUACGAGCAAACUAGAGUGUUGCAGGGGAGACUGGAAUUCCUGGUGUAGCGGUGAAAUGCGCAGAUAUCAGGAGGAACACCGGUGGCGAAGGCGGGUCUCUGGGCAACAACUGA
rnacentral:rRNA from 1 species